GGAUUUUGACUCUUUGCCAUGUCAAGUGCCUACUUCAGAUCAAGGAGGUGCUGGACAAAAUCCAGGUCUUGUCUAUGGAAACCCAUAUUCUGGUAUUCAAGAAAGUUCUGCCCCUAGCCUGCUCUCCAUCAAGAAAUGCUUCACCUGCAAAUCAGACUUUGCUGAUGAAAUCUGUGAUCACACCUUGGAGCAGCAGCAAAUGCAGACCCCUUGUU